rnacentral:rRNA from 1 species
UGUCCUACGGGGGGCAGCAGUGGGGAAUAUUGCACAAUGGGGGAAACCCUGAUGCAGCGACGCCGCGUGAGUGAAGAAGUAUCUCGGUACGUAAAGCUCUAUCAGCAGGGAAGAAAAAAAGUCUUUGGCUUUGGACGGUACCUGACUAAGAAGCCCCGGCUAACUACGUGCCAGCAGCCGCGGUAAUACGUAGGGGGCAAGCGUUAUCCGGAUUUACUGGGUGUAAAGGGAGCGCAGACGGCAAGGCAAGUCUGAUGUGAAAGUCCGAGGCUCAACCUCGGGAAUGCAUUGGACACUGUCUGGCU